rnacentral:lncRNA from 1 species
GUAGAUCUACCAGGUGCAGGGAAGCACUCCACACCCUCACCCAGGUCCUGUAUCCCUGCAAGACUGCGUUGGAAAGACUGAAGAGAGGCGGAGUUUCACCAUGUUGGCCAGGCUGGUCUUGAACUCCUGACCUCAGGUGAUCCACCCGCCUCAGCCUUUCAAAGUGCUGGGCAGGCGUGAGCCACGACGCCUGGCUGAUGAUAAUCUUUACUCAUAAUAUUAUGAAGCAAAUAUAUGUUAUUCAUAUAUCGUUUUACUAUAAAUAUUUUGGUUAACUUUUGAAUUUAUGCUAGUCUAUCAUAAAUCUUCAACUAACUGUGUUAUUUAAAGGAUACACACAGUAAUAUUCUUGAUCCAAAGGGGGAGAAAUGAUUUUAUUUUGUUAUGUUUUAGUCUUUAUGUUUGUUUUAACUCUUCUUUCUGACCACAUUAUGUACUUUUAAAAAAUAAAGAUUCUAGCAACAUUA